UACGUAGGGGGCAAGCGUUGUCCGGAUUUAUUGGGCGUAAAGAGCGUGUAGGCGGUCAGGUAGGUCCGUUGUGAAAACUCGAGGCUCAACCUCGAGACGCCGAUGGAAACCAUCUGACUAGAGUCCGGAAGAGGAGAGUGGAAUUCCUGGUGUAGCGGUGAAAUGCGCAGAUAUCAGGAAGAACACCCGUGGCUAAGGCGGCCUCUCUAGUACGGUACUGACGCUGAGACGCGAAAGCGUGGGAGCGAACAGG
rnacentral:rRNA from 1 species